UGCAGGGUGCUGAAGACGUGACAUAUUCAGACAGAGACCAUAAUACAUAGACUGUUAUAUGGUCUCUGAUUCAGGUGUGAAGAAUCAAGAACAGAUUAAAUGACAGGAGUUUUGCAACAGUGAACAUUGUGAAGUGGAAGAUAAGACAUUUGAAAGGUACCUGGAUUUCACAAUCUGACACCAGCUACAUUUAAGAAGAUCUUGCUCACACAAUUCAGACAAGGGACUCGCCGGAUGAUGAACAGUACUCCUGAUAACAACCAACAGAUUCACCUCAGAAAGUGAUGAUUCUGAAUGAAUAAUGCCACAUCAGUGUUACUGUAGGUGGUUUU